AGCCACCCCCACCUCUACUCCUUCCCGAUCCAUCACUGACAGGUAAUGUAUUUUGCAGUCACAUCACCGUCGGAGGAAGUCAAAAAGCAUGCGUCUGUAUAGUUGUACGCCGUCCAGACAGGUGUUUGAGACCUUGUCUGGGCCUCGGCAGCUGGGCUCCUGUAACCGUGCCCGUCUCUGCGAGGGGUUGGCUAGAGUGACUGACUUGGCCGAGGUGCGGAGGCGGCUGUCUUUCAACCACUGAUCCCUGAGAACUACUCAUCUGAUCAGCCUGGAUCUGCGCUUCGCGGCUGCCGGGGUCACACAACCCAACCCCGGGGUCAAGCAGCUAAUUACAGAUCCCUGAGUCCUCCGUCUCUGUCACCGCUGGGAAAAUGGCGAAGGUGGGGAGAGAAGAGGCCUGAGAGGAGCGAGGAUAAAAGGAGAACAUAUCGACUUAGACAUCAAAAGGUCAACACUGAGGGUAAACCAAGCUGGUUUCUUUCAGUCUUCCUGUACCCACUGACUGAGCUGUGGGUUUAAAGGAUGCUGCAUGCCGGCAACAAAGAGCGACAGUGCAGUUUGGGAAAAGCUAUUGGAUGAGAGGUGAUAAUAACCUGCUGAUGAAACCAGAAAAGAAAAUAUUUUCCAAGACGAUCAUGUCUGCAUUACAGAAAAACAGUGUGUAUGUGUGUGUGUGUGUGGGGGGGGGGGGUAAA